GAUGGCGACGAUACCUAGAGAGACAGUUUAUCCAACACGGCCAAAACGUUAGAAGGCAAAUUACCGAAUAGAGAGAGAGGGUCAGUGUCUGUCCAUUAAGCUUUGCGCCAGUGUUGGUGCUAUAUAUUCAUGAGAGACGCAGCCGAACGAUAAUUAGUCCCGUGGCGUGACGACACCGCGAAUUGCACCAGAAGUUAUUGAAGAGGCGGCCGUAAAACGAUCAUUCGAGCAUCAUCAGCAUCGUCGUCGUCAUUCAUCAGGGCGCGUAACCGGAAAAGGAAUGAAAUAAAAACGCAAGAACAAAAAAA